ACAAUUUCCCAAGAACAGGGGAACCGGGCGCUGCGAUAAGGGCGCCGCCACGGCGUGCCGUACGAGUCGCCUCGGAUGCGGGUGGUGCAGAUGGGCUCCCUUCUCUGGCACUCGUUCGGUGAGAGGUUCCGGAAGUCCCGGCACCGCAGUGAAGCUCGCAGGUUCGGAAUUAUCCGAAACUCAUCUCCCGCGUGGGAAGCUGUGCAGUAGUGCAGUAAUGUCCACGUACACCCAAGAAGGAAACAGAAGAGAGUCGCCACGCUUUAUUGCAACUGACUUAUAUCGACCGGUUGUUGUCUGGCUAAGGACGUCGCCCGACUAACAGGGAUGCCGGACUGAGGGCUCCUCCCACUGAGCACUUCAAGCCGACUUCAUUUCAAUAAAAGUUGUGCCUCUC